CUAAAAUAUGUUCCAAAACCGCAUGUAGGAUAUCAGAGAAAGCAAUAAAUAAAUAAAAUCCGCCUUUAUCUUCCAGUAAAAAAGUGGCAGCCCUAGUGUUUGUUGCGAAUAUGAUAAGAUAAUUGAUGUAUUGGUGAGGAACUUAAUGGAAAUCAUGCAUUUUUUUGUAUCCCAGUUGAUUUUCUGUAUCCUGGUAGUGAAUGGAUUG